GACGAACGCUGGCGGCGCGCUUAACACAUGCAAGUCGAGCGAGAACCGGGGCUUCGGCCCCGGGGACAGCGGCGAACGGGUGAGUAACACGUGGGUAACCUGUCCUCGGCACCGGGAUAGCGCGGGGAAACCCGGAUUAAUACCGGACGGCCUCCGGAGCCUGCGGGCGACGGAGAAAAGGUGGCUUCGGCUUCCGGCUGAGGAGGGGCCUGCGGCGGAUUAGCUUGUUGGCGGGGUAACGGCCCACCAAGGCGACAAUCCGUAGCUGGUCUGAGAGGACGAUCAGCCACACUGGGACUGAGACACGGCCCAGACUCCUACGGGAGGCAGCAGUGGGGAAUCUUGCGCAAUGGGCGAAAGCCUGACGCAGCGACGCCGCGUGCGGGAAGAAGGCCUUCGGGUUGUAAACCGCUUUCAGGAGGGACGAAGCCACUCGGGUGAAUAGCCCAGAGGGUGACGGUACCUCCAGAAGAAGCCCCGGCUAACUACGUGCCAGCCGCCGCAGUAACAC
rnacentral:rRNA from 1 species